rnacentral:rRNA from 1 species
GACGAACGCUGGCGGCGUGCUUAACACAUGCAAGUCGAGCGGAUAGGCUCCUUCGGGGGUACUCGAGCGGCGAACGGGUGAGUAACACGUGAGUAAUCUGCCCUGGACUCUGGGAUAGCCACCGGAAACGGUGAUUAAUACCGGAUAUGACCAGCUUCCGCAUGGUGGUUGGUGGAAAGUUUUUUCGGUCCAGGAUGUGCUCGCGGCCUAUCAGCUUGUUGGUGAGGUAAUGGCUUACCAAGGCUUUGACGGGUAGCCGGCCUGAGAGGGUGACCGGUCACACUGGGACUGAGACACGGCCCAGACUCCUACGGGAGGCAGCAGUGGGGAAUAUUGGACAAUGGGCGGAAGCCUGAUCCAGCAACGCCGCGUGAGGGAUGACGGCCUUCGGGUUGUAAACCUCUUUCAGUACCGACGAAGCGAAAGUGACGGUAGGUACAGAAGAAGGACCGGCCAACUACGUGCCAGCAGCCGCCGUAAUAC